rnacentral:lncRNA from 1 species
UUCGCUUCAUAUCUGGGUUCUCAGCUAGGAAGUCUCAAGGACUAGGAAUGACUCCAGAGUGCUAUGGCACUCAUGAGAAG